rnacentral:lncRNA from 1 species
GGGGACGAAGCAGCUUUGCCAAAAUUUCAUCAGACAUCAGCUAGUUUGGGAAAACCGCCUGUCAGACCUUGGAGACCAGAGGGAUGGUGAUCACCAAACAACACGCAUCCAUCAGUGAGAAAACAACUUCUGCAAAUGUAGGAUCACGGCUGAUGGAUCCAGCCAUGGCUUCCAGUUCACACAUGUGCUUGUUUGGAAAGCAAAAGGAAAAAAAAACACCCCCGGGGAGGACUGGAAAACUGGGGGAAGAAAGAGAAAGUCAGCUGAGAUUUGCCAACCGUGUAGUGGCGAGGCCAGGCUGGUGGUGGGGCUGCCGUGAUGCCCAGAGCCCACACUGAUCCUCCAGCCCCUGGCGGUGCCAUCAGAUGGAAACCGCAAUUCUUGCUGAAA